rnacentral:snRNA from 1 species
GUGCUCGCUUCGGCAGCACAUAUACUAAAACUGGAACGAUACAGAGAAGAUUAGCA